rnacentral:rRNA from 1 species
GACGAACGCUGGCGGCGUGCCUAAUACAUGCAAGUCGAGCGCAGGAAGCCGUCUGAACCCUUCGGGGGGACGACGGUGGAAUGAGCGGCGGACGGGGGAGUAACACGUAAAGAACCUGCCCAUAGGUCUGGGAUAACCACGAGAAAUCGGGGCUAAUACCGGAUGUGUCAUCGGACCGCAUGGUCCGCUUAGGAAAGGCGCUCCGGCGUCGCCCAUGGAUGGCUUUGCGGUGCAUUAGCUAGUUGGUGGGGUAACGGCCCACCAAGGCGACGAUGCAUAGCCGACCUGAGAGGGUGAACGGCCACACUGGGACUGAGACACGGCCCAGACUCCUACGGGAGGCAGCAGUAGGGAAUCUUCCACAAUGGACGAAAGUCUGAUGGAGCAACGCCGCGUGAACGAUGAAGGCUUUCGGGUCGUAAAGUUCUGUUGUAAGGGAAGAACAAGUGCCGCAGGCAAUGGCGGCACCUUGACGGUACCUUGCGAGAAAGCCACGGCUAACUACGUGCCAGCCGCCGCCGUAA